AGAUUGAACGCUGGCGGCAUGCUUUACACAUGCAAGUCGAACGGUAACAGGCCGCAAGGUGCUGACGAGUGGCGAACGGGUGAGUAAUGCAUCGGAACGUGCCCAGUCGUGGGGGAUAACGCAGCGAAAGCUGUGCUAAUACCGCAUACGAUCUAUGGAUGAAAGCGGGGGACCGAAAGGCCUCGCGCGAUUGGAGCGGCCGAUGUCAGAUUAGCUAGUUGGUGGGUAAAGGCCCACCAAGGCGACGAUCUGUAGCUGGUCUGAGAGGACGACCAGCCACACUGGAACUGAGACACGGUCCAGACUCCUACGGGAGGCAGCAGUGGGGAAUUUUGGACAAUGGGCGCAAGCCUGAUCCAGCAAUGCCGCGUGCAGGAAGAAGGCCUUCGGUUGUAAACGUGUACUUUUGUACGGAACGGUAAACGUCGUAGGUUAAUACCGUACGGCUUAAGUAGACGGUACCGUAAGUAAUAAGCACCGGACUAACGUACGUGCCAGCAGCCGUA
rnacentral:rRNA from 1 species